UCUCUCUCUCUCACUCACUCACUCACUCACCCCCUCUCUGUCUCCCUCAAACUCUUUCUAGUAUUUACCUCAGUUCACAGUGUUUCUUGAGUGUAUUGAUGGUAUAUUGGCGGUUACUAUGGUAAACUACGGAGUUUCUGGAGGUCUUCUAGAGAUGCUGCGUUAUGGUCACACAGCCGUGGUAACUGAGACAUCGUGGAAGUGGAUUCUCUUCUGUUAGUUUGCCAGUCGUCGGGUCAAACGACCAAAUGUGAUUAACACCAGUUGAGAACUCAUCCCGACCUCCCACAAUAUAAACCUUGCCAUCCAACACGGGGACUCAAACCUGAGGCUAUAAUGAAACUGUCUGGAGAAGGAAAAGAGCGGAGAUGAAGAUGAAUGCUUGAAGAUCGGUAACUGCUUAUAUACGCUCAUAAUGAUGAUUGACAGGACUGAAUGUUUAGGCUCCUCCAUAACCUACAUUUAAA